rnacentral:rRNA from 1 species
AUUGAACGCUGGCGGCAGGCCUAACACAUGCAAGUCGAGCGGAUGAAGGGAGCUUGCUCCUGGAUUCAGCGGCGGACGGGUGAGUAAUGCCUAGGAAUCUGCCUGGUAGUGGGAGAUAACGUCCGGAAACGGGCGCUAAUACCGCAUACGUCCUGAGGGAGAAAGUGGGGGAUCUUCGGACCUCACGCUAUCAGAUGAGCCUAGGUCGGAUUAGCUAGUUGGUGGGGUAAAGGCCUACCAAGGCGACGAUCCGUAACUGGUCUGAGAGGAUGAUCAGUCACACUGGGACUGAGACACGGUCCAGACUCCUACGGGAGGCAGCAGUGGGGAAUAUUGGACAAUGGGCGAAAGCCUGAUCCAGCCAUGCCGCGUGUGUGAAGAAGGUCUUCGGAUUGUAAAGCACUUUAAGUUGGGAGGAAGGGCAGUAAGUUAAUACCUUGCUGUUUUGACGUUACCAACAGAAUAAGCACCGGCUAACUUCGUG